CCUACGGGAGGCAGCAGUGAGGAAUAUUGGUCAAUGGGCGCAAGCCUGAACCAGCCAUCCCGCGUGCAGGAAGACGGCGCUAUNCGUUGUAAACUGCUUUUCCAGGGGGAGAAACUUGCGCACGUGUUGCGCAAUUGACGGUACCCUGGGAAUAAGCAUCGGCUAACUCCGUGCCAGCAGCCGCGGUAAU
rnacentral:rRNA from 1 species